rnacentral:rRNA from 1 species
UACGGAGGAUCCAAGCGUUAUCCGGAAUCAUUGGGUUUAAAGGGUCCGUAGGCGGUUUUGUAAGUCAGUGGUGAAAGCCCAUCGCUCAACGGUGGAACGGCCGUUGAUACUGCAAGACUUGAAUUAUUGGGAAGUAACUAGAAUAUGUAGUGUAGCGGUGAAAUGCUUAGAGAUUACAUGGAAUACCAAUUGCGAAGGCAGGUUACUACCAAUAUAUUGACGCUGAUGGACGAAAGCGUGGGGAGCGAACAGG